CCUACGGGGGGCAGCAGUGAGGAAUAUUGGCCAAUGGACGGAAGUCUGAACCAGCCAUGCCGCGUGCAGGAAGACGGCUCUAUGAGUUGUAAACUGCUUUUGUACAAGGGUAAACCUGAAUACGUGUAUUCAGCUGAAAGUACUGUACGAAUAAGGAUCGGCUAACUCCGUGCCAGCAGCCGCGGUAAUACGGAGGAUCCAAGCGUUAUCCGGAUUUAUUGGGUUUAAAGGGUGCGUAGGCGGAUUGAUAAGUUAGAGGUGAAAUGUCCGAGCUUAACUCGGGAACUGCCUCUAAUACUGUUGGUCUAGGGAGUAGAUGCGGUAGGCGGAAUGUAUGGUGGAGCGGUGAAAUGCUUAGAGAUCAUAAAGAACCCCGAUUGCGAAGGCAGCUUACCAAUCUAUAUCUGACGUUGAGGCACGAAAGCGUGGGGAGCAAACAGGAUUAGAUACCCUGGUAGUC
rnacentral:rRNA from 1 species